CACAGCUCUGCUGCUUUGCCCGCGCUCCUCAAGGUGCUCUGGGGGUUGGAGGUGUCCAGCUUCUAUGGCUCAACAUGACUGGCCUGGGACGUCCGGCCUUGGGGCGGAGUUUCCUGAGCAAGGUCUAAUUCAGGGAUGAAGACAGGACUCUGCCCUGCCCUGCAUACUGCCACCUUCUUCCUGCUCACCCUUAGCCUAGGCAGAAGAAAUGCUUCUCAACUCUGGACUAAGGAGAGAAUCUUGGAACAAGAGCAAAACACAUCGCUGCUGAGAUCUCACCUUUCUGCCUCCGGUUCUCCAACAGGAAUUUCAUCCACCUGGAAAGAGAGUGGGGUGCGUUCACGACCCUGUUUUUGUUGGCCUUUAACUUGUUCUGAUAUCUUGGGCCAACUUGAUCACAUCUCACCCUCCGGUUUUUGUUUUGUUUUUGGCAACAGUGGACAUUGGCCUCUGGAGCCUGUCGUAGGCAGACAGUGUUGAGAGGCACUGAGGACUGAGCAGCCAGGACUGUGUGCUGAAGUCACCAUGUCCACCAAGGUCCCCAUCUAUUUGAAACGUGGCAGCCGCAAAGGCAAGAAAGAGAAGCUUCGGGACCUGCUCUCCUCAGACAUGAUCAGCCCGCCACUUGGGGACUUCCGUCAC
rnacentral:lncRNA from 1 species